GUGAGGUGAUGGAGCGGCCGCUGUCAUUCCUGCCGAUGUUGUGAGGUAAACAGCAACCCCUUUUGAGGGGGACAAAUGUCGGUCCUGGAGGUGAUUCAUGAGGAGAUAGAGGCAGAAUUAUAUAAGGGUGCCUCCAGCUGUUGUAAAACUACAAUUCUUGCAGAAUGAUCUUCCUCCCACCCAGCGGUCGCUCGACCCAUUGAAGCAGGACAGGCUCUCUCUGAUCAACUGACUAGUGAUGUAAUGUCUCGGGCCGCACUGCAACCUGGGAAAACCUGAGACGACACUCAUUUUGAAUGUUGUUAAAAAUAAUCUUCUGGACAAAGAUCACAUAAGAAUUGCGAGACCACAAUCAAACACAGGUUCUGUGGAGACAAGUCAUGGUCGGGAGAAGUCAUUAUGAUGGUCUUGGCCGGAUAGAGAAGAAAAGAAAAAGUGAUCUCCACCGAUCAGAGAAGACGCCCCCUGUAAUUGACUCAGAGAAGAUGCCCCCUGUGAGUCUAUAAUAUCUGCUGUAUUCUCCUGAUUUCGUCCCAUCAGCGCUGAAGUCACAUACAUUCUGCAGUUUUGUAUAGAGAAACAACUACUCCCAGCAUUGUGUAUUGGAUAACGGUGCCCUGGCAUCACGAAGUGAUAAGGUAUUUCUCCUAACACCCCCGUGGUACCAUAUAAAUACACAUGUUAUAUCACAGCAGCUUAGCUGAUCAGACUGAAACUUGUGAUGUCAUAGUAGCUUACAAUGACACAAACAUCGUCAAAAGAGGGUCCAUGUGUAAGGGCCCUAUUACAUUGGUGGAUUGUCAGCUGAUCGCUGGCCCUAUUAUGAUAAGUUCACAUGGUGAAAUGCUGGCACAGAAUUCUGCAGGAAUAUUCCUAUAUUGAUUUCAGUGGGAUUCUGCUGCACUGUACACACGGCGGAAUUUCCUGCUGCAGAAAUCCCGAUUCCGGCGUCCACAGAAAGGACAGACUUUCUGCAGAUUCCGCUAAGAA